rnacentral:rRNA from 2 species
UACGUAGGUGGCAAGCGUUGUCCGGAAUUAUUGGGCGUAAAGCGCGCGCAGGUGGGAUCUUAAGUCCAUUUUGAAAGUUCGGAGCUCAACUCCGUGAUGGGAUGGAAACUGGGAUUCUUGAGUACCGGAGAGGAAAGCGGAAUUCCCCGUGUAGCGGUGAAAUGCGUAGAUAUGGGGAGGAACACCAGUGGCGAAGGCGGCUUUCUGGACGGUGUCUGACACUGAGGCGCGAAAGCUAGGGGAGCGAACGGG